UACGUAUGUCCCGAGCGUUAUCCGGAUUUAUUGGGCGUAAAGCGAGCGCAGACGGUUAAUUAAGUCGGAUGUGAAAGACAGGAGCUCAACUCCGGAAUAGCAUUGGAAACUGGUUAGCUUGAGUGCAGUAGAGGUAAGUGGAACUCCAUGUGUAGCGGUGGAAUGCGUAGAUAUAUGGAAGAACACCAGUGGCGAAGGCGGUCUACUAGACUGUAACUGACGUUGAGGCUCGAAAGUUUGGGGAGCGAACGGG
rnacentral:rRNA from 1 species